GGGGUUGUGGCUCAGCGGUAGAGCACUCGCCUAGCACAUGUGAGGCCCUGGGUUCAAUCCUCAGCACCACA
rnacentral:tRNA from 1 species